GGAAUCUUCCGCAAUGGGCGCAAGCCUGACGGAGCAACGCCGCGUGAGUGAUGAAGGUUCUCGGAUCGUAAAGCUCUGUUGCCAAAGAAGAAAGGCCAGGAGAGUAACUGCUCUUGGUUUGACGGUAUUUGAGAAGAAAGCCCCGGCUAACUACGUGCCAGCAGCCGCGGUAAUACGUAGGGGGCAAGCGUUGUCCGGAAUUAUUGGGCGUAAAGCGCGCGCAGGCGGCCGUUUAAGUCUGGUGUAUAACCCCGGGGCUCAACCCCGGGUCGCAUCGGAAACUGGAGGGCUUGAGUGCAGGAGAGGGAAGUGGAAUUCCACGUGUAGCGGUGAAAUGCGUAGAGAUGUGGAGGAACACCAGUGGCGAAGGCGACUUCCUGGCCUGUAACUGACGCUGAGGCGCGAAAGCGUGGGGAGCAAA
rnacentral:rRNA from 1 species